AACGCACAUUGCGCCCAUUAGUAUUCUAGUGGGCAUGCCUGUUCGAGCGUCAUUUCCACCCUCAAGCCUGCUUGGUGUUGGGCACUACGAGAUCGUAGGCCUGAAAAUCAGUGGCGGGCUCGCUGUGACCCGAGCGUAGUACUUUCUCGCUCCGGGCACAUCGGGCGCUAGCCAAAGCACUGUCUUCUAUCAGUUGACUGUCCAAGGUGACCUCGGAUCAGGUAGGAAUACCCGCUGAACUUAA
rnacentral:misc_RNA from 1 species